GAGAGCACUUAGCCACAUUCCUAAGUGUUUUGUUGACAAGGGCUAGGCUGAAGGAUGUGCUUAAUGUGCAGGUGACAGUGCUCGUAGAAAAUGAAUUGAAAAUGCAUAUCCCAAAAGGAUUGCAGAGCAGUUUCACAUUUGCUCUCUGACUGUCAUUCUGUUGGCAGAACCUUCCCGUACAUAACUUGCAGCAACAUGACUCAGACAAAGGUGCAUCAUUUCAAUAAAUACAGAAAGCUACUUGUCAUUUGCUAUUCCUGCCACCCCAGUAGGAAUUCAGUGGAAUUCCAUGGCAGGAAUUGCAUGGCAAUAUGAAAAACUCAUGCAUACACACCUGUGAGCUAGAACAGAGCAAGGGCAGGACACUAACACUUGUCAUCGCUUUAUAAAUUGAUUUUAAUAAUGAGGAACAAGUAUUUAGGUUCUGUUGAACAAGAGAACUAGAAGGAAUACUGAUGUUAUAACAAAUGGCUUAGAAGCACAAAAGCACAGCAGCCACCCAAGUGGCCAUUUGGUCUUAGUGCAAAAGUCAAGGCAUCAUAAAUUAUUUCUGGUUGGAAAGGGCCCCCAGUGGCACUGAAUAUAGCCCCCAGCUGAGAGCAGGGCUAAAUUCAGUCUUAUAUCAGGCUGUUCAGGGCCUUGCCAAGUUAUGAAAAUUUCUGGAGAGUGUACAGUGCUACUGCACAACAUGUUCCACUGCUUAACCAACCUCUCUGUGCUGCUUUCCCUUAUAUCUUGUCCAUCUUUAAUUCUUUCCUAUUGGAAUUUGGCUGUCUAUAGUUCUUUCCAGUGAACCUCAGACAGAAUCAUCCAUAUAGGACAGCCUUACCUGUAUGUCCUGUGGUCUGGUCCUGAACAUCUAGGCUGCUCUUCAGAAUGCCAGUCUUCUUGCAUUUGGGGCCCAAACUAGACACAGUACUCCAGAUGUGGCCUCUCCAGGACCAAAGAGUCAUAAUCAUUUAUCUCCUCCUUGUGGAAGACAUAUUCUUACUAACACAGUCCGGUAUGUGGUUAGCUUUCAUUUCUACAAGGACACACAAUCAAUACAUGCUCAUCUUCUCCACCAGGAUCCCCAGGUCAUUUUCUCCAGAGCCACACUCCUGCAAGUUAGUCUCCAGACAUCAUCUGAUUGUGACAGUAAAAAGUGGCUCUGUGAUGGCUGUUCCAUCAGAACACACAGAUGUAUCCUGAUUGCUCCUCUUCUCCUAAAAGACGUGGUGUAACUCACCAUGUGAUGGCAAUACUUCAAGGCAAGAACAGAGGACAACAUGCCUGGAAAUGAGAUGGCAGCUGUGACUGCCAAGGAAAAUGGAUACACAGGCUUCCACUGGCAUAAAGCAGCACCUUGCAUUGACUUUGGACUGCUGGCUGGUUGUGAAGGAAGCAGUUGCACAAGUUCUCAGGGCAGAGAAAGAACUGCAGCUAUGGUGUCCACAAACAAGCAAGAAUACCAAGAGCCAGCACAAGGGCUGAACCUUCGUGCUAAUAUUGAAGGCUAGAAAGAUGCAAAGAUGACCAAAGGGCUGAAGCACCUCUCCUCUGAGGAAAGGUUGAGGGAUGA